CGGGGGGGGCAAGCGUUGUUCGGAAUUACUGGGCGUAAAGGGCUCGUAGGCGGCCAACUAAGUCGGACGUGAAAUCCCUCGGCUCAACCGGGGAACUGCGUCCGAUACUGGAUGGCUUGAAUCCGGGAGAGGGAUGCGGAAUUCCAGGUGUAGCGGUGAAAUGCGUAGAUAUCUGGAGGAACACCGGUGGCGAAGGCGGCAUCCUGGACCGGCAUUGACGCUGAGGAGCGAAAGCCAGGGGAGCAAACGGGAUUAGAUACCCCGGUAGUCCUGGCCCUAAACGAUGAAUGCUUGGUGUGGCGGGUAUCGAUCCCUGCCGUGCCGAAGCUAACGCAUUAAGCAUUCCGCCUGGGGAGUACGGUCGCAAGGCUG
rnacentral:rRNA from 1 species